CGACGGCGUGCUUAACACAUGCCAGUCGAACCGAACAUUCGGGUUAGUGGCGGACGGGUGAGUAACGUCGAAAUCUUGCCCUCAGCGAGUGGGGACAACAGCUGGAAACGUGCUGCUAAUACCCCGAUAUGCCGCGAGGUGAAAUGAAUUUCGCCUGAGGGAUGAGCUCGCGUCUGAUUAGCUAGUUGGUGUAAGUAAUGGCUCACCAAGGCAUCGAUCAGAUAGCUGGUCUGAGAGGAUGAUCAGCCACACUGGGACUGAGACACGGCCAGACUCCUACGGGAGGCAGCAGUGGGGAAUUUUCCGAAUGGGCGAAAGCCUGACGGAGCAACGACCGCGUGAGGGAUGAAGGCCUCUGGGCUGUAAAACCUCUUUAUAUCAAGGGAAGAAGAUCUGACGGUACUUGAUGACAUAACGCCCACGGCUAAUUCCGUGCCAGCAGCCGCGGUUAAUACGGGAGUGGCAAGCGUUAUACGGCAAUUAUUAGGGCGUAAAAGCGUCCAGACAAGCGGCCUUCAAAGAUACUGCAUAGUUACAAAAGUGGAGCUUCAACUCCCAUCAUUGGCAGUCGGAAAACUAGUUGGGCUUAAGUGUGGUACGGGCAGAGGGAAUUCCCAGGUCGUACGCGAGUAAAAAUGCGUAGAUCUCCGGGAAGGAAACACAAAUUGGCAAAGGCACAUCUGACUAGGCCAUCACAUUAACAGCCUCAAUUGACCUAAAGCCAG
rnacentral:rRNA from 1 species